rnacentral:lncRNA from 1 species
CCUCCCAAAGUGCUGGGAUUACAGGCGUGAACCAAGGCGCCCGGCCGGAGUAGGAAUUUUAUGGGUUAUAAACUAAGGAUAUGGAGGUCGACUUGAGGAAGAAACCUGGAGUAUAAAAAUUCAGUUUGGAAAAAGACGUUUUGUCUCUUAAACUGAAGCACAUUCCUGCCAUUCAUUCGGACCAUACGAAGAUAAAACUAAAAACUUUUCUCUAAAGCUCCUGGUGAUGGUAGUUGAGUCAAUGAGCCACCAGCAACAACAAAGGACAAAAAGGUGUGUUGCUGGCAAUAUGUGGCCCCAGGGGAGAGGCAAAAGUGGAGGUUCCCGAGUCAUCUGAGAUUUGUUGCCUCGGAACAGGAUCCACAGCUCAAUAAUAGUCACUGUACUGUCAUUGUUUAUUUGAAAUCUAAAGGUGUAAUGCAAGAAUAUGCAAGACCACAGGGACUGGAGACACAAAGAGCAUCUGAAGAGAGCUUGAAUGACUCCCAACAGUUCCAGUCUCAAAGUUACCAUGUGCAGCACAGUCAGGGCAGCAUGUGAGAAGAACAACAAGAAAGCUGGGGUCUGCCAGAGAAGACGGAAGCCCUCACAUUAAACUGAGUCAGCUGGCAUCUUGAUCUUGGACUUUCAAAUCUCCAGAACUGUGAGAA